GUGGGAAACAACGAAAAGUGACGUGGCGCAGCUAGGAGUGUGCACCGUACGCAAAACACAAAAAAUAACGGGAGGUGAAAUGUAGGAGAUAUUCGGAAAAACAGAAGUUGACACUAGCCAAGCCCGGGGCUCCGGAUUCCUUCACGCAUCUCUCACACUCUUCUCUGUUUCUUCACACUUUCCUCUCCUUCCUUCUGCUAACUAACUCCUCUCUGAAUCAAAAAAUAUUCUUAGACUUGUAACGGAUUGAUCGAUUGACGGCGGCGACGGCGGCAAUAUAUGGAGUCGGAUUCUGUUCUCUUUCUGAUAAUUUGUCGACGAUGAAACUGAUUUAACGACGUAGUAAUGGUAGUAUCAUCGGUGUGAGAAGCAGUUGUUCUGGGAGAGAAGCAGUUGAUCGUGUCAGUAUUGGCCUUGGUGGCCGGGCGGAUGAGGUGGUUUUCGAAGCAAUAGUAAAGGAUUCUAAUAGCCCUUUGCAUAACAUUAAAGUUGUGCUUAGGAAACUUGUCAGUACUCAAGCAAAACGUAGAGGAAUGCGAGCAAUAGAGUGUUUUUAGGUGUUGAAGAAGCUGGUUCGCCGUGAACUUAUGUACCAUUCUUAUUCGAUGCAAGUUAUGGUUAUACUUCACCUUCUAGUGGCCGUGGUUCGUUUACUCUGGUACAUGGGUAUCAUGGUAGUUUUUCUUUGAGACAUUGGCUUCAACAAUCAGAUUGGAUUCCUACCUUGGAAGCUAAUCUUGCAUUGGAUGAGGAAUCUGUCAGGAGGGUGGGAGAUGACACCGUUGGAGGACUUGCUGUCUCUCGGCAGUUGCAAAUAACACGCAUAUUGAUGAGGGAUCUCUUGAUUGGAGUAUCAAUCAUGGACUUUCGGAUACAGAGUUGAGGCUGGAGAAUGUGCAUAUAAGCCCAGUGGAUGGGCAUAUUAAAGUAAAUGCAAGCUUUCCCCCCUCUUAUGCUGUUUUUUUUUUUUUUAGAUUCUCUGAAUUUAGAAUUAAAUUUGAUAUAUAUAGAAUAAGGAAAGAAAUUCUUUAAGGAGAAGGUGUUUGAGGAAAACUCUUGUUGAUUUGUGCUUUCUGAUAAGACAACACUUGAUGCACAACAAUUUCAGUUUAUCUAUUGAAGUCAAAUUUUAUUUCUGGUAUUCUGCUUUGAAAGUUUGCUAUCUCUUCAACAGCAUUGAAUAAUGGGAAAUUUUUUUGGUUCUAGACUUAUGGUUGAGGAAAGGUUUAUUAGCACAAAUAUUGAGGAACGAAACAAGACAUGAAUAAAUCAGCACCAUUGAAUUAGUGCACCUCCCACACAUGAUUGCAUUUGACAUGAGGUAUGAAUAGAUAGAUAGACCUAAUAGUGUAUCCAGUUAGCGCUGCUAGCAGAGCUACUGAUGUACUGAAUUCUGUUUCAUCCAUGUUGAAAAGAUGUGUAGGAUCUAUGAUGGCAAAAAUGGUGCUGCGGGAACUCAUGGAUCCAUUAAUUUUCAUGAAGUUCAAAUCAUUCCUCAUGAUGGUACAACAUGCUAGUCCCAUCCCCCCACCCCUUUUUUUUUUGGAUUAAUCAAUCCAGAACCUGGUGGAAUUUUUGUUGACUUGCAUUAUGUCUCUGGAUAAGCUCAAGUUUCUCUUCAUUAAUUUCUACCAGUUUCUUGAAGACUGGAAUGCAUUGGCAGCCGCUUUAUUUGCUCAAUAUGAAAAAAAAUCUAUAGUAUCAUCAUGCACUACUCAUCAUGUGUUGGUACUGAUCCUAAUUACGAAGUUGUACCUUCAUGCUUGCGUGAGUUAGGAAUUCUCCUUCUGGAAAUGUUGGACUCCAAGGAGUACGAAUGCAAAUUACCAUACUUUAAGCUACACCUUUCACAAUAUCUAUAAAGAUUGUUUUUUAUAAGUAAAAGCCACAUGAAUUAUUAGGAUGUUUAAGUUCGUUUUGUAGAUACUUGAUCGGAACUGGGGUGCUGGUUGGAACCUUUUAUCCUUGUUAUUGGCAGCCAAACCUUCGUAAAGAAUAAGUUGUUUGGAUGCCCUCAGGCAUCCAUUUCUGUGUCGACCAAGAUGGCGGGU